CAAAACAUCAUAAAAAUAUACAAUAACCCCACAAACAAUACAUCCCCAAAUACCCCUGAUCUGAGCGCCCAAGUUCUCCAAAUAGUGCUCAGAUCCAUACAGUGUAGGGGAAACACCACCGUGUUAAAGUGUUGCCCGGCCGCACACAUGGUCCUAUGCCCAAAAUAGUUCUAGGGCAUUUAGUGCUUUUGCCGGUCAACUUUCAUGAGCAAUACAGGGUGCUCUGCCUGGCUCGCAGGUAGUGUUUGUGCCCCUUAGUCUCAGGCACCUUCCCUUCAAAAAGCACUCUCCUGUCGGGUUGCAAAUUCGUUCAAAACCCUGGACCAAGUUGUCCAGGAACUGCAUGUUUACCUCAUGGCGAAAUUAGUUCCACAACAUUCGUGGCUAAGUACCGCUGGGGUGACCGGGGAACCACGAACUCCUCAUGCUGAAAUUAGUUCCAUAGUGGUCACGGCUAAGUACUCUGCCAAUUAGCGGCACCCCUGCC